UACGGAGGGUGCGAGCGUUGUCCGGAAUCACUGGGCGUAAAGGGCGCGUAGGCGGCUCAUGAAGGCUGUGGUGAAAGUCCGGGGCUCAACCUCGGAUCGGCCGUGGCGACUCGUGGGCUGGAGCACUGUAGAGGCGGGUGGAAUUCCGGGUGUAGCGGUGGAAUGCGUAGAGAUCGGCAGGAACACCCAGGGGGAAACCAGCCGACUGGGCAUAGGCUGACGCUGAUGUGCGAGAGCGUGGGGAGCGAACCGG
rnacentral:rRNA from 1 species